rnacentral:rRNA from 1 species
GCCUACGGGGCGCAGCAGUGGGGGAUAUUGCACAAUGGGGGAAACCCUGAUGCAGUGACGCCGCGUAUGGGAAGAAGGUUUUCGGAUUGUAAACCAUUGGCGUUAGGGAAGAAGAAGUGACAGUACCUAAGGAGGAAGCUCCGGCUAACUAUGUGCCAGCAGCCGCGGUAAUACAUAGGGAGCGAGCGUUAUCCGGAUUUACUGGGUGUAAAGGGAGCGUAGACGGCUGCGCAAGUCUGAAGUGAAAGCCCGGGGCUCAACCCCGGGACUGCUUUGGAAACUGUGUAGCUAGAGUGCUGGAGAGG